rnacentral:ncRNA from 1 species
GAUAGAGGCGCAGCCGACAAUAUUAACCCUCAACAGCCACGCAGGGCGUUGACGGGGGGCUAAAGGGAAGGCUGCCGAAGGACGAAGGGCUAUGCGGGCUCUGCGUACCUGGGCAGCGGGAUAAUAUCCCGCUGACUGUCACAGCUACAUCUGUGGAGUGCUAUCA